GCCUAGGUAGUUUAGUGGUAAAACAAACCCUUGGUAAGGGUUAGAGCGAGGGUUCAAUUCCCUCCCUAGGCU
rfam:Candidatus Woesebacteria bacterium RIFCSPLOWO2_01_FTLL_39_21 rifcsplowo2_01_scaffold_1084, whole genome shotgun sequence.